GUGGCUCGCUUCAGCAGCACAUGUUCUGAAAUUGGAAUGACACAGAGAAGAUUAGCACGGCCUCAUUGCAAGGAUGGUAUGCAAAUUUGGAGAGUACUCUAUAUUUUU
rnacentral:snRNA from 1 species